UGGAUUAGAGUUUGAUCCUGGCUCAGAAUCAACGCUGGCGGCGUGCCUCAGACAUGCAAGUCGAACGCGAAAGCCUCCUUCGGGGGGCAAGUAGAGUGGCGCACGGGUGAGUAACACGUAGGUAAUCUACCUUUGGAUUGGGAAUAACCACCGGAAACCGUGGCUAAUACCGAAUAAUGCAGCGGCACCUAAUGGUGACAGUUGUUAAAGCGGGGGAUCGCAAGACCUCGCGUCUGAAGAGGAGCCUGCGGCAGAUUAGCUAGUUGGUAAGGUAACGGCUUACCAAGGCGAUGAUCUGUAGCCGGCCUGAGAGGGCGGUCGGCCACACUGACACUGAAACACGGGCCAGACUCCUACGGGAGGCAGCAGUGGGGAAUCUUGCACAAUGGAGGAAACUCUGAUGCAGCGACGCCGCGUGAGCGAUGAAGCC
rnacentral:rRNA from 1 species